AUCUCAUUGGCUCAGUUGGUUAGAGUGUUCGCUUCACACGCGAAAGGUCCCCGGUUCGAUCCCGGGAUGGGAUA